rnacentral:rRNA from 1 species
CCCUUAGAUGUUCUGGGCCGCACGCGUGCUACACUGAGUGGAUCAGCGGGUCAGGUUGCGCGAAAGCGUUUCCUAAUCUUUAAAUCCGCUCGUGAUGGGGAUUGACGGUUGCAAUUUUCUGUCAUGAACGAGGAAUACCUUGUAAGCGCGGGUCAUCAUCCCGCGCUGAAUACGUCCCUGCCCUUUGUACACACCGCCCGUCGCUCCUACCGAUUGAGUGUUCCGGUGAGGCUUUGGGAUCUGAGCGGAAAGAGCGUUUCGCUGUUUCUGCUCGGAAAACUCAGUCGAACCUUAUCAUUUAGAGGAAGGAGAAGUCGUAACA